rnacentral:lncRNA from 9 species
GGGGCCGCAGUCCUCUACCCCUGCAUGGCGUAGGACUGUGGGCCCCAGCGCGCUUGGAAUAAAAAUCCUCUUGCUGUUUGCAUCAAGACUGCUUCUCGUGAGUGAUUUAGGGUGUCGCCUCUUUUGAGUCCGGAUGAGGGGGAUUUUCCUUCUACUGGUCUUUCACUGUCAAGGCCAUCUUCACCUUGAGGUCCUCCCUCUGCCCACACUGGCCAAAACUCCUACUCUGAGAAAUCUUUUGGCAGAAGGCGAAAAGUGGCAUCUGAGAUGUUGUGACACCUCUACCAGCAUAUGGGGCCACAGCAACUCAGAACCAAGCCGCAUCUGAGACCUAUACCACAGCUCAUGGCAACGCCAGAUCCUUAACCUGGGAUAGUCAUAGGAAAGCUAUGGAAAUUGUUACAACAGUUCCACAUCAAGAUGAUGGCUACCUGAGGAACCAGUCCAUCCAACUUAAAACAAGAAGCUGUACUGUCUCUGGGGUGCUUAGAUCAGACAUAGAGAAGCCCUUCUCCUCAAGAUACUUAUGACUUAAGAGUGAUUGAACAAAUUACUCCUCUGUGGAUAAAAUUGAAAUAUUUUUCUUCUCUCUUCCUGUUUCCCCCAGAAAUUAGAGACUCUUGGGUUCUGAGCAGGCUUAUCAGGUGAAUAGGAAAGACUGCUUCCCGGCAUGUGUAGGAUUCUUGAUAUUUUGGGAACUUCUAGAAAAGAAUUCAGUCUGAGACUCCUGAGGAAUUACACCAGAUCGGUGUAACAGGCCUAUGUAGUCAAUGGAGCAGACUUGUUUUGGAAACAAAUUAGACUUGUUUGUCUGUGUUCAAUGGAGAUGAGGGUAAUUUUAGAGAAAAAGAUUAUGCUUCAAUAGAUAUGAAAUUCUAGUUAUGUUCAUUGAAGUCUGUAUCUAUGAAAGUUAUUGUGUUAGCCACAAUUUUGGCCUGAUGUUCAGGAUGAAAAGAAAAUUAUGAAAAGUAGAAUUAUCUUGUGGAAUUAUCACAGAAUAACUACUCAUGACAUAUCACCGACUGCUUUGGGUCCACUGCUAAAAGCAUAUGUACAAUGUUUGUGUGACAAGUGGGUAUAAGUGAUAAAAUGUAUGGCCUAUAAAGUGUUUCUUCAUUAAUGUGCUUCUGAGCUUAUUCAUGAUACCUGAUCAGUUUUCCCCAAAUGUGGACUAACUAGGCAAAUACAUAGGAAGCCUAGAAUUGAGGGACAUGAUCUACAUCUGGGACAAACAGCUGAAUCACCCUGGCAUUGAAGGGAAGAUUUUUUUAAGGGCCAUGGGCCACACCUGUGGUAUAUGGAAGUUUCUAGGAUAGGGGUCAAAACAGAGCUGCAGCUGCUGGCCUAUACUUUAGCCACAACAACACCAGAUCCAAACCACACCUGUGACAUACACCACAGCUCACCACAAUGGUAUAUCCUUAACCCACUGAGCAGGGACAGGGAUUGAACCUUCAUUGUCAUGGUGCUAGCUGGGUUCAUUACUGCUGAGCCACAACAGGAAUUCCUCAGAUGUUUUGAUUAUCAAUGCUUUCUAUUGAAGGACUUACAAUUGAAAGGAGAAAUGAUGGAAAAUCUGCAUGUAUUGAGGUAUGAGGAAGUCACUCUGGCUUAACUUAAAUUUUGCUAACCAGAGGCAUGCUUUGUGGCUUUCCAGACAUGUAUUGUACAUCUGCUCUGGCCAUUUUGGAUUUCAAACACAUUUCAUUAUUGCUGAGCUAUGUCAGAUGCCACUAGCCAUUCUCAAAGCAGUGUCUUCUUGCAGCUGGUAGCUGCACCUUAUGGAUUCAAAGUAUCCUCUUGUAACUGUUCAAUUUUUAGACAAUGAAAUUUCUUUAGAUCAGAUAUUCACAGAAAGAGGAGACAUGUAGUGGCCAAUAGCUCCUGUUAUGAGUAUGUUAAUGCUGCAUCAGAAGUUAAAACCUACUUAGGUAAAACUUGAUAACUGUCCACAGCAAGUCUCCCCAAAGUGCCAGUUCCAGACUGGGUUUCAGGCUUAUUCUCAUGAAUUCCUUAGGGAAUCAGAUCUAUUUUGUCUAUUAAAGUUCUAGUUGUCAUUCCUACCUCUAACUAGUUCUAUUGCACAGAGAUUGUGGACUUAGGGAUUGAGAUCUUAAUCAUUAAUCCAGGGUUUGUAACUCAGGGAUAUUUCUAAUUUGGUGUCCAAUCCCCCAAACUGAAGUAGGACUAUGCACCAUUUCAGCAGGAAUUAGCCAGAGCAGUCGUCACCCCUUUCCCUAAAAGACUUGGGGAAAGAUAAAACAGAAAUGAGGAUUUAAAACCAAAUCCCCCUAAAACCAAGUUCUGAAAGGAUGAAAAUGCAACCUAACCCUCCCAGAACCCAGGAAGUUAAUAAAAAGCUCUAAAUGCCCCCGAAUUCCAGACCCUGUUCCCUGCCAGUAAAUAGGUAGAAGGUCACACUUCUUAUUGUUCCAGGGCCUGCUAUCCUGGCCUAAGUAAGAUAACAGGAAAUGAGUUGACUAAUCGCUUAUCUGGAUUCUGUAAAACUGACUGGCACCAUAGAAGAAUUGAUUACACAUUGAAAGCCCUAGUGACCUAUCUCAACUGCAAUCUGUCACUCUGCCCAGGAGCCCGCGCAGAUGCGGACCUCCGGAGCUGUUUUAAAAUGAUUGGUCCACGGAGCGCGGGCUCUCGAUAUUUCAAAAUGAUUGGUCCACGGAGCGCGGGCUCUCGAUAUUUUAAAAUGAUUGGUUUGCGACGCACAAGCUUUGUUGUGAACCCCAUAAAAGCUGUCCUGAUUCCGCACUCGGGGCCGCAGUCCUCUACCCCUGCGUGGCAUACGACUGUGAGCCCCAGCGCGCUUGGAAUAAAAAUCCUCUUGCUGUUUGCAUCAAGACUGCUUCUCGUGAGUGAUUUAGGGUGUCGCCUCUUCUGAGCCCGACGAGGGGGAUUGUUCUUUUACUGGCCUUUCAGUUCCUCUGCUGAGUUUAUGAUUAAUGUCUUUAUUCAAAAAAAAAGUAUUCCCUUUCCUGUCCAAUACCUAUUCUCCUCGAGUUUGAGGAGUAUCAAAGAAAAUGGGGGAAUGAAACCAGGCAGGGCCCUGUGGAGCUCCUGGGCACAAGCCUUUCCAAGUCCCCUGUUUCUUGGUUUUAGGAAAUAAGUUUCAACCUCCAUGACCUUACCUGAGUUCCAAAGGGCAGUUUCAAACAUUUGCUGAUCAGGGAAGGGAGGGGAUGCAGAAACCAGAAAGGAGCAGUCAAUAAAAAAUACUGAAGCCUUAGGACAGGGUCCUGGUUCUUUUGCAAGGAAUAGACAUAACAAUAUUUUUUAGUUCUGAAGAACUAAAACCCCCAACAAGUGAAAACUAGAGAGGAGAACCACUAGAGCCAGUCCUGGGGCCACUAAACACCAACUUUGAAGAAUAAUGAAAGCUUACAUCUACCCUGAUCAUUAUCUGUGGCCCUAUUUUUCACUCCUAAACUAUAAAAACACUGCUUAAUUUCUCCCAAGGUAGGGCACAGUCUUCAGAGCAUUAGCCUGCUGUGGCCUCCUUCACCUGGCAAAGCACUAAAGCUAUUUUUUUUUCUCCUCACCCUAAAACUCUGUCUCUGUGUUUCUGUUCAACACCGGUGGACAGAGGCCAAAUUUUGGCAACAUGAGCUAGUCCAGGGAUCAAACAUGCAUCCUCAUAGACAUUAUAUCAGGUUCUUAACCUGCUGAGCCACAACGGGAACUCCAAGAAAUUUUUUUUAAAUAUAAGUGUUGUAUUUAUAUAAACCUAGCUAUGGUGUUAAUUGGAGAAUGGCUUUGAUUCAGGAAAGAUGUUAGGCCAGUGAUGAAUAAAAUUUAUAUUUUAAGGCAAAUGAGAAAAAAAUUUCUCUGUGUUUGUUUUGGCCUUCUCCCUCCCCCCCCACCAUGUGGUGUGUGCAUCGGCAUCACAUAUUAACCAGAGCUUCUCAAAGAUGGGAAUGCCUGCUCAACCAUAAAGAUCAGUUUUUUUUUCUUUUUUCUGAUGCUAGUACUGUAACUUUUUAAAGAAUAGUGUUCUUUCCCAGCUCUGUAGUGGGUCAUGGUUAUUUGUUGCUUGCUUUGUAUGUGCUGACCUGGACUAUGUAUCCUUGUUGCUUGCUUUGUAUGUGCUGACCUGGACUAUGUAUCCUUGGUGACCUGUAUGUAAAAUAUAUCAUUUUGAUAUAUGAUCUCUUGUCUAAAAAAUGUAUAUGACUAUGUCUUCAACUUCUAAUAGGUGAAACAGUAGUCAGAGAUUUCUGAGAAUCUGCUUCCAGGGUUACAAUUCUCAGUUUAGCUGAAAUAAAAUUCCCUU